CAGCGUUUUACAGUGUGGUUAUACUGGGAAAAUACUGCAUUUAACAAUAUAGUUGCACUGGAAAUCAAUGUUUAACAGUGUAGUUGUACUGGAAAAUACUGCAUUUAACAGCAUCAUUGCACUGGAAAAUACUGCACAUAAUAGUGCAGCUGCACUGGAAAAUACUGAAUUUUACAGUGUAGUUGCACUGGAAAAUACUGCAUUUUACAGUGUAGCUGGACUGGAAAAUAUUGCAGUUAACAAUGUAGUUGCACUGGAAAAUCCAGCUUCUAACAGUGUAGUUGCACUGGAAAACACUGCAUGUAACAGUGUAGUUGCACUGGAAAAUACAGCUUCUAACAGUGUAGUUGCACUGGAAAACACUGCAUGUAACAGUGUAGUUGCACUGGAAAAUACAGCUUCUAACAGUGUAGUUGCACUGGAAAACACUGCAUGUAACAGUGUAGUUGGACUGUAAAAUCCAGUGUGCUGCAGCAAAAACAAGCAAACCGUGGAGGAGCUUUAUUUAGUCAGCACCAGAAGGUUAGAGCUGCUCUUUACUUCCAGCUUCCAUGUGCACCAUAUCAGGGUUUCAGUCUGGAGAGGGUCCCUGUUGGUAGCGAGCCGCUAAUGUGCAGCGCUAACCCCUGCCGAGGGCCACUCCACAUGCCUUUAUAAAUAGAGUCCAGGCUCAUCUAUUUACACAGCGAGCACAUCAUCACCUCGCUGCCACCGGCUGCACUCAGCAGGCCUCCAGAAGGAAAAGUCCGGCUGCAGCUGGAACACGGUGACCCACGAUAGACCAAUAGAUCCUUUUACUGCUGCUAGCUGCACAUUACUGGCCUCUCUUCUACCGCAGCUUUCCUCCCAUCUGCUUUAAUUCUCAGGACGCUGCAAUAUAAAUCACUUCUUUCUUCUGUGAAUAUGUGAUGAUAAACCAGAAUAUUGUCUGACCAGUCUGCAGAGGAAUAUUCCAGCAGGAGAAAGUCCAAAGAGCAUCAUCACACAAGAGCUUCUCCACUAGAACAAGGUGGAAACCAGAAUAUACAAAAUGUCUUGAAAUAUGUCCCCAGCUCCCCAUAUUAUGUCUAAGUUCACUCAAAGUUUGUGUGAAUUUAUCCAAAAUGACUCAAAUUUUUCUAAAGAGUUCAAAGUUGUUAUACAUGGUCUAAAAUGAUUCAAAAUGCAUCUUUUAUUGUCUUAGAAAUAUCCAAAGCAAGUUAAAAUAUAUCCAUAAUUCAUUAAAUUUUGUCCAAAUUGGCUCAAAGUUGGUCCAAAAUGAGAUAAAAUAUGUCCAAAGCACCUCACAUUUGAUCCAAAAUUACUUAAACUGG
ensembl:lncRNA